UACAAGGUCAACAAUUCAAAAAAUCCACACGAUCUUAGCAAUUUAUUUAUACAAUUUUGUUGUUCCGUAACGUUACCGAGCUAACAAGCACGCUGAGAUUAGAUUAUAAAAAGUUACGAACUUAAAAUUUAAUAUUAUAAAUAAGUACGUAUUGUUAUCGCUGCACUGGCUUUUUAUUUGUGAUGACAAACGUAUGCAUACAUAUAGUGCUAACGCCCUGUCUUUAAAGGUCGUUUUGACGGAUACGAUGAUUAUGAAGACAGUUGCCGGGUGAAUUUUUUCCCUGUCCUCGGCUCGAUGGCGGCGGAUCAGUACGGAACAAGGUAAACAGCUUGAAAAACGAGGAGGGUGCAAGGAAGAGAGCAAAUGGCGUGAGCGGUGUGCGGGGCGAGGGAGGAAGCACCGACACGCGUUGCACGGUCACCGAACGAACGAAACCGUGGUAGUUGAGGCCGGCGACUCGUGCACCCGAUUCAACCUUCCUCAACGCGACCGCAACUGACCCGCGCUACAGAACUCCCCGCCCCCUCACUUCCUCUCCAACGUCUCCGACUCUGAAGUAGUCUGACUGACUGAAGUAAAUAUGCGCACUCCUCCUUAUACAUGGACAUACUUUUAGUGUAGGUAUAUAGGUAAUAAUAUUUAGUUGAAUUAUUUUAAAUGGCUAUUAGUAAUUUAA